UACCCUGAACGGUGGAUCAGUUGGCUCGUGGGUCGAUGAAGAACGCAGCUAAUUGCGCGUCGACUUGUGAACUGCAGGACACAUGAACAUCGUCAUUUUGAACGCACAUUGAUGUCCUCGGAUACGAUUCCCGGACAAUGCCUGGCUGAGAGUAG
rnacentral:rRNA from 1 species